CAGAGAGGUGUAAUAUAUUUUAUACCCCUGAACUGGAUACUUAAGAGUGGCUAAGAUGAUAAAAUUUUAUGUUAUACGUAAUUUCCCGCACAUAAAAAAUGGAGGAAAAAAAGUACAUGAAGUGAUUUAUGCCCUUUGUCUUAGGCUGAGAAAACUAGCCCCCUCGUCGACUUUGCUCUUGAUGUCCUUUUUGAAAAGGUUUUCACUUCCAUAACCACACUUUUGGCUUCCUGUCGACUUCCUGUAACACUUGUGAACAUUCACUUCUCGUUCGCUUUGACUGUUCCAUUUCAGAUGUCAUUUUCUUUUUAAGUAAACAUUAAACACGCUGAUAUACGGUCGGCAUACUUUUGUAAAAUAUAGAGGCUAAACCUAAAACAGAAGCAGGCAAGCCCCUGGCAUUCUUCUCCUGUAAGUACACGUCCAACCUUAGAUGAAAUAUCAGCUUCCAUUGUUUUCUAGAGAAGUCCUUCUUAAGUCCUUCUCUUACUUAAAAUAAAAGGGGGAAGUUUCUUUAGAAAGUGUGCAAAGCCAAGAGACACAAUGCACAGAUCCUUUGGGGGCUGAGCAGAGACCAGCUGUUGAGUUGGCAUAUGUUUCCCUGGUCCCUUUUUUUUUUUUUUUUUUUAAUUUCACUCAACUUUCAUUUCUGUUUUUCUCUUUGCUUCCAGUCAACUACCCAGGCCGGGGCCUCUGGAAAUAUGCCCUCCUCCACCACUGCCCCAGCACACGGGACUGAAGUCAGCGAUUCCAAGCACGGGGAAAGUGGGUUUCCACCUUAAAAGGAUCACGGAUUCCUAGUGAUUGAGAGGAAAACUAAUACAGAAUUUGGAAAAUUAAGUUUUCCAACGUAAUUUUUUCAUGUUUAUUUAUUUUCUGAGAGAGACAGAGAGAGAGAGAGAGAGAGAGAGAGAGAGAGCAAGUCGUGGAGGGACAGGGAGAGUGGGAGAGAGAGAAUCCCAAGCAGGCUCCACACUGACAGCAUGGAACCUGACGUGGGGCUUGAACCCAUGAACCGUGAGAUCAUGACCUGCGCGGACAUCAAGAGUCGGCCACUUAACCAGCGGAGCCACCAAGACCCGCCCCUCCGAUGGCAAUCUGGCAAUACGGAGACGAGCUGCAUGACCCAGCGAUCCGCGCUCAGGGCGGACCCUAGAGAAACGCACACGAACGUACCCGGAGGCAGCGUAAGAAGGCUGGCCGCGGCCUGGCCCGUCGUGAGGAAAAUUCCAAGCAACCGAAAUACCCCAGGAUGCAAGCCCUGAUGGCCCACAAGAGGGAGAUCUAGAACAGUUCAGCAACCAGAUGUGUAACUGUAUAAACCGAUCUAAGGACACACAGCAUCUUGGGAAGUUUGCAGGAGUACAAAGGGCGCCGAUAGAGGCUCCCGCCUGCCCUCUGUCUAAGGCAAGCGCCCUCUGAACGCGUUCAGAAAUCUGCAGAGCCACCGCUCACGGUGAAGAAGACACAGCACAGGGUGCGGGGGUAAAUUGAACGGUGUUUAGAACGCGCGGUUUAAUGAGAUGGUUGCAAGAGGAAAAUCGAUCAGUGGAGUGCAGAAGCACAGGGGACAGACAGUGUCCUCGGGGACCCGUGGCCAGGUGCUUGGGGUCUGCGACCUUGGAAGGGCCCAGGAAACCCGAAACUCCUGCUGCUUGUUCACGGAACACUGAGAAAUGCGGACAUAGCUGUUCUUAUAACAGUACGGCUGGUGAUAAGCAUGGCUAUCUUCCAGCUGUCAUUCAAACUUACCAUUAGAAGCUUCCCCCAUAAAGAUUAUAACCGGGUACGGUGAGUUUCAAGCUUUUCUGUGAACAUGUCUGCCACUUGUUCAUUCUUUUCAAUCAGGUGCCAAAGGUUUUAUCAAAAAUUGUGGAGGGUACAUAAAUUAAGAAUAGUCAUUGGCUGGGGCGCCUGGGCGGCUCAGUCGGUUGAGUGCCUGACUUUAGCUCAGGUCAUGAUCUCACGGUCCAUGAGUUCGAGCCCCGCAUUGGGCUCUGUG